rnacentral:lncRNA from 1 species
CUCUGAUAAUUUGCCCUGGGAAUUGUCUUCCUCUGAUGUGACCAUGAUAUCAUCGUGCUGUGGUAGUGAAAGCUCCAGUAUGCUGAACCACAUCAGGUCCCCUGUUGUCGUGGCCAUGGCUUGGCGGACGUCCAUCAUGGUGAGGCGGUGGCACAUCGCAGUUGAGCGUUUUCCUGUCUGUCACGGGUUGUUUUCGGGUGGUAGGCAUGCCAAACAAAAGGCAGAAAAGAAAGUAUAGAGACGAAUCUGAAAGGGGACCGAAAUCUGGAGAGAACAAAAAUGGGAAAAUUUUAUUAUAUACUGUAUAUAUAAAUAAACGUAAAAAUUAAGGGUGGGGAUGACCCUCCAAAUGUAUACCUGCG